UAGUGGCGAACGGGUGAGUAACACGUGGGCAAUCUGCCCUGCACUCUGGGACAAGCCCUGGAAACGGGGUCUAAUACCGGAUACUGAUCGCCUUGGGCAUCCUUGGUGAUCGAAAGCUCCGGCGGUGCAGGAUGAGCCCGCGGCCUAUCAGCUUGUUGGUGAGGUAAUGGCUCACCAAGGCGACGACGGGUAGCCGGCCUGAGAGGGCGACCGGCCACACUGGGACUGAGACACGGCCCAGACUCCUACGGGAGGCAGCAGUGGGGAAUAUUGCACAAUGGGCGCAAGCCUGAUGCAGCGACGCCGCGUGAGGGAUGACGGCCUUCGGGUUGUAAACCUCUUUCAGCAGGGAAGAAGCGCAAGUGACGGUACCUGCAGAAGAAGCGCCGGCUAACUACGUGCCAGCAGCCGCGGUAAUACGUAGGGCGCAAGCGUUGUCCGGAAUUAUUGGGCGUAAAGAGCUCGUAGGCGGCUUGUCGCGUCGGUUGUGAAAGCCCGGGGCUUAACCCCGGGUCUGCAGUCGAUACGGGCAGGCUAGAGUUCGGUAGGGGAGAUCGGAAUUCCU
rnacentral:rRNA from 1 species